UUAAAGCCAAUGAAGAGAAGUAGUAGAUAUAGAAAAUUAGUUAAAGCGAGUUUGGAAUGGUGGGAGCCAAGUACUAUAGUCUAUAUUGAAUGGAUCUCUGAGGUGUGAUGCGAAAUAGUAGUAGCAGUAAACGGUAGUCUACCGUUAAAAAGACAGGGUAUCGAGUAAAAUCUGUACCUGAUGAAGAUUGCUUUAUAUUAAGGUGGUAUAGCAAAAUAACCAUUUUGUCCUUAUU
rfam:Clostridium pasteurianum DSM 525 = ATCC 6013, complete genome.